AUUGAACGCUGGCGGCAUGCCUAACACAUGCAAGUCGAACGGGGCAGCACUGCCUAGUGGCGGACGGGUGAGGAAUACGUAGGAAUAUGCCCUUAAGUGGGGGAUAACUAGGGGAAACCCUGACUAAUACCGCAUGAUAUCAUCGGAGCAAAGAGGGGGACCGCAAGGCUUCUCGCUUCUGGAUGAGCCUACGUCUGAUUAGCUAGUUGGUAGGGGAAAGGCCUACCAAGGCGACGAUCAGUAACUGGUCUGAGAGGAUGAUCAGUCACACCCGAACUGAGACACGGUCCGGACUCCUACGGGAGGCAGCAGUGGGGAAUAUUGGACAAUGGGCGCAAGCCUGAUCCAGCAAUGCCGCGUGUGUGAAGAAGGCCUUCGGGUUGUAAAGCACUUUAGCCUGGAAAGAAAAAACUUUGGUUAACACCCAAAGUCUUGACGGUACCAGGAGAAUAAGCACCGGCUAACUCUGUGCCAGCCGCCGCUGUAACAC
rnacentral:rRNA from 1 species